rnacentral:lncRNA from 1 species
CCGAAGUCUUUCCGCUACUUUCUCACCUGCCUCCAUGGCCCGACCCCGGAAGUAGGAGCCCCAAGGGUCCUGAGGCGCCCCAGGGUGCAGAAGCUGGGAGAGCCUGGCGGGUGGCCUGCAGCAGGGGCCGGGAGGCUGGGGUGCUUCGGAGGGGAAGGGAGGUGACUUCCUGAAACAGUGAGGGGAAGCUACAGCCCGGCAGAAGUCAGCCUAUGGGUGUGAGCGGCGGCGCGGGGUGGCUGGGGAGGGGUGGCGCGGCGAAGGGGCCAGCGCAGCAUCCCACCAGGCAGGCAGGGCCGGGGCCGAGGGCCGAGCGGGAGCGGAGGCUGCGCCUGGCGCUCCCGGGGGCGGGGGCUCGGGACUAGCUCUGCCUAACCCGGCCUCCGGACACCCGAGCCCGGCCCGCUAAAUUUAGCCCCCGCCCCUGGAUUCACGGGUCACGGAUCCCUCCCUCACGUGCUGGGGGCAAGUGCGCGGCCCGGGCCUGAGCGGCGGGUAAAGGCCACCGGUGGGGCGGCCUCGAGGGCAGGCGCGGCCCCUCCGCGGCCGGCGCAAGGCGGGAAGCGCGCAGGGCGAGGCCGUGAUGGCAGCGCGUGACCGCGGGGGUGCGGCCGGCGCCCUCCCUGCCUCCCUCACUUCCCCAGCGGAGGAGGCGGGACCGACGCGCAGGGCACAGCUGGGGUAGCCCCCGCCCCGGACCCGCCCCGGCCCGGCCCGGCCCGGCCCGGCCCGGCCCCUACCUGCCUGCCUCCCCGGCCCGCGGCGGGGCUCGAGGGCGGGCUGGCUACCCGGCCCCGGGCAUGGCGCCCCGGGCGGCGAGCGGAGAAAAGCGGGGCACGGGGCUGGGGGGCGGCCCGCAGCGCUGCGCCACGCUACGCCACGCCACGCGGGGACUGAGCUGCCGCCAGCGAGUGGGGCCUGUCCGCUCCCGCGGCGCCCCGCUUUCUCCGCCCCCACCCUCCGGACCGCGGGCGCCGCCGCCGCCGUCGCCCCUGGCCCGCCGGCCGUGACCCUGGCUAGCGC